rnacentral:rRNA from 1 species
CUUAAAGGAAUUGACGGGGCCCGCACAAGCGGUGGAGCAUGUGGUUUAAUUCGACGCAACGCGAAGAACCUUACCAGGGCUUGACAUCCCCUGACCGCGUAUGAAAGUACGUUUUCACCCUCGGGUGACAGGGAGACAGGUGGUGCAUGGUUGUCGUCAGCUCGUGUCGUGAGAUGUUGGGUUAAGUCCCGCAACGAGCGCAACCCCUACGUUUAGUUGCUAACGCGUGAAGGCGAGCACUCUAGACGAACUGCCGUUGACAAAACGGAGGAAGGUGGGGAUGACGUCAAAUCAUCAUGCCCCUUAUGCUCUGGGCUACACACGUGCUACAAUGGCCGGUACAGACGGACGCAAAGCCGCGAGGUGGAGCAAAUCCUAAAAAGCCGGUCUCAGUUCGGAUUGCAGGCUGCAAUUCGCCUGCAUGAAGUCGGAAUCGCUAGUAAUCGCAGGUCAGCAUACUGCGGUGAAUACGUUCCCGGGCCUU